rnacentral:rRNA from 1 species
GAUGAACGCUGGCGGCGUGCCUAAUACAUGCAAGUCGAGCGAACAGAUAAGGAGCUUGCUCCUUUGAAGUUAGCGGCGGACGGGUGAGUAACACGUGGGUAACCUACCUAUAAGACUGGGAUAACUUCGGGAAACCGGAGCUAAUACCGGAUAACAUUUAGAACCGCAUGGUUCUAAAGUGAAAGAUGGUUUUGCUAUCACUUAUAGAUGGACCCGCGCCGUAUUAGCUAGUUGGUAAGGUAACGGCUUACCAAGGCGACGAUACGUAGCCGACCUGAGAGGGUGAUCGGCCACACUGGAACUGAGACACGGUCCAGACUCCUACGGGAGGCAGCAGUAGGGAAUCUGCCGCAAUGGGCGAAAGCCUGACGGAGCAACGCCGCGUGAGUGAUGAAGGGUUUCGGCUCGUAAAACUCUGUUAUUAGGGAAGAACAAAUGUGUAAGUAACUGUGCACAUCUUGACGGUACCUAAUCAGAAAGCCACGGCUAACUACG